UACGUAGGGUGCGAGCGUUAAUCGGAAUUACUGGGCGUAAAGGGUGCGCAGGCGGAAAUAUAAGUUAGAUGUGAAAUACCCGAGCUUAACUUGGGAAUGGCAUUUAAGACUGUAUAUCUAGAGUUUAUCAGAGGGGGGUAGAAUUCCAAGUGUAGCAGUGAAAUGCGUAGAGAUUUGGAGGAAUACCAGUGGCGAAGGCGACCCCCUGGGAAAUAACUGACGCUCAUGCACGAAAGCGUGGGAAGCAAACAGG
rnacentral:rRNA from 1 species